UAAGCCAUGCAUGUCUAAGUAUAAACGAUUUAAUCGUGAAACCGCGAAUGGCUCAUUAUAACAGCUAUAAUUUACUUGAUCUUGACACAAUCCUACUUGGAUAACUGUGGUAAUUCUAGAGCUAAUACAUGCAUUAAAGCUCUGACCUCACGGGAAGAGUGCAUUUAUUAGAACAAAACCAAGCGGCUUCGGCUGUUUCUGGUUGACUCAUAGUAACUGAGCUGAUCGCAUGGUCUUGCACCGGCGACGUGUCUUUCAAGUAUCUGCCGUAUCAACUUUCGAUGGUAGUGUAUCUGACUACCAUGGUGAUCACGCGUAACGGAGAAUAAGGGUUCGGCUCCGGAGAGUUCGCCUGAGAAAUCGCGAACACAUCUAAGGAAGGCAGCAGGCGCGAAAAUUACCCACUCUCAGCACGAGGAGGUAGUGACGAAAAAUAACGAGACCGUUCUCUUAUGAGGCCGGUCAUCGGAAUGGGUACAAUUUAAACCCUUUAACGAGUAUCUAUAGAGG
rnacentral:rRNA from 1 species